AUGAGAAACUAAGUUAUGUUUAGUUAUAUUUUUACUGAUUUUUAUAGAGUAAAGAUAGAAAUAAAACUUAGUAAAAUCAGUAAAAAUAUUCUUAGGCUAAAGUUAAGUAGUUUAAGUUGUGUGCAAGUGGUAGGAGAGCGUUCUAUUUGCGUCGAAGGUAUACCGGUAAGGAGUGCUGGAGCGAAUAGAAGUGAGCAUGCAGGCAUGAGUAGCGAUAAUUAAUGUGAGAAUCAUUAACGCCGUAAACCCAAGGUUUCCUACGCGAUGCUCGUCAUCGUAGGGUUAGUCGGGUCCUAAGUCGAGUCCGAAAGGGGUAGACGAUGGCAAAUUGGUUAAUAUUCCAAUACCAACAUUAGUGUGCGAUGGAAGGACGCUUAGGGCUAAGGGGGCUAGCGGAUGGAAGUGCUAGUCUAAGGUCGUAGGAGGUUAUACAGGCAAAUCCGUAUAACAAUACUCCGAGAACUGAAAGGCUUUUUGAAGUCUUCGGAUGGAUAGAAGAACCCCUGAUGCCGUCGAGCCAAGAAAAGUUUCUAAGUUUAGCUAAUGUUGCCCGUACCGUAAACCGACACAGGUGGGUGGGAUGAGUAUUCUAAGGCGCGUGGAAGAACUCUCUUUAAGGAACUCUGCAAAAUAGCACCGUAUCUUCGGUAUAAGGUGUGGUUAGCUUUGUAUUAGGAUUUACUCCGAAAGCAAGGAAACUUACAACAAAGAGUCCCUCCCGACUGUUUACCAAAAACACAGCACUCUGCUAACUCGUAAGAGGAUGUAUAGGGUGUGACGCCUGCCCGGUGCUCGAAGGUUAAUUGAUGGGGUUAGCAUUAGCGAAGCUCUUGAUCGAAGCCCGAGUAAACGGCGGCCGUAACUAUAACGGUCCUAAGGUAGCGAAAUUCCUUGUCGGUUAAAUACCGACCUGCAUGAAUGGCGUAACGAGAUGGGAGCUGUCUCAAAGAGGGAUCCAGUGAAAUUGUAGUGGAGGUGAAAAUUCCUCCUACCCGCGGCAAGACGGAAAGACCCCGUGGACCUUUACUACAGCUUGACACUGCUACUUGGAUAAGAAUGUGCAGGAUAGGUGGGAGGCUUUGAGUAUAUGACGCCAGUUGUAUAUGAGCCAUUGUUGAGAUACCACUCUUUCUUAUUUGGGUAGCUAACCAGCUUGAGUUAUCCUCAAGUGGGACAAUGUCUGGUGGGUAGUUUGACUGGGGCGGUCGCCUCCCAAAUAAUAACGGAGGCUUACAAAGGUUGGCUCAGAACGGUUGGAAAUCGUUCGUAGAGUAUAAAGGUAUAAGCCAGCUUAACUGCAAGACAUACAAGUCAAGCAGAGACGAAAGUCGGUCUUAGUGAUCCGGUGGUUCUGUGUGGAAGGGCCAUCGCUCAAAGGAUAAAAGGUACCCCGGGGAUAACAGGCUGAUCUCCCCCAAGAGCUCACAUCGACGGGGAGGUUUGGCACCUCGAUGUCGGCUCAUCGCAUCCUGGGGCUGGAGCAGGUCCCAAGGGUAUGGCUGUUCGCCAUUUAAAGCGGUACGCGAGCUGGGUUCAGAACGUCGUGAGACAGUUCGGUCCCUAUCUGCCGUGGGCGUAAGAAGAUUGAAGAGAUUUGACCCUAGUACGAGAGGACCGGGUUGAACAAACCACUGGUGUAGCUGUUGUUCUGCCAAGAGCAUCGCAGCGUAGCUAAGUUUGGAAAGGAUAAACGCUGAAAGCAUCUAAGCGUGAAGCCAACUCUAAGAUGAAUCUUCUCUAAGCUCUCUAGAAGACUACUAGUUUGAUAGGCUGGGUGUGUAAUGGAUGAAAGUCCUUUAGCUGACCAGUACUAAUAGAGCGUUUGGCUUAUCUUU
rnacentral:rRNA from 1 species